AUACGUAGGGGGCUAGCGUUAUCCGGAUUUACUGGGCGUAAAGGGUGCGUAGGUGGUUCUUAAGUCAGGAGUGAAAGGCUACGGCUCAACCGUAGUAAGCUCUUGAAACUGGGAAACUUGAGUGCAGGAGAGGAAAGUGGAAUUCCUAGUGUAGCGGUGAAAUGCGUAGAUAUUAGGAGGAACACCAGUAGCGAAGGCGAUAUUCUGGCCGACAACUGACACUGAGAUGCGAGAGCAUGGGUAGC
rnacentral:rRNA from 1 species